AGUGAACGCUGGCGGUAGGCCUAACACAUGCAAGUCGAACGGCAGCACAGUAAGAGCUUGCUCUUACGGUUGGCGAGUGGCGGACGGGUGAGGAAUACAUCGGAAUCUACUUUUUCGUGGGGGAUAACGUAGGGAAACUUACGCUAAUACCGCAUACGACCUACGGGUGAAAGCAGGGGAUCUUCGGACCUUGCGCGAUUGAUUGAGCCGAUGUCGGAUUAGCUAGUUGGCGGGGUAAAGGCCCACCAAGGCGACGAUCCGUAGCUGGUCUGAGAGGAUGAUCAGCCACACUGGAACUGAGACACGGUCCAGACUCCUACGGGAGGCAGCAGUGGGGAAUAUUGGACAAUGGGCGCAAGCCUGAUCCAGCCAUACCGCGUGGGUGAAGAAGGCCUUCGGGUUGUAAAGCCCUUUUGUUGGGAAAGAAAAGCAGCAGGUUAAUCCCCCGCUGUUCUGACGGUACCCAAAGAAUAAGCACCGGCUAACUUCGUG
rnacentral:rRNA from 1 species